GAUGAACGCUAGCGGCAGGCUUAAUACAUGCAAGUCGAGGGGCAGCAUGACUGUAGCAAUACAGUUGAUGGCGACCGGCAAACGGGUGCGGAACACGUACGGAACCUUCCUUCGAGCGGGGAAUAGCCCAGAGAAAUUUGGAUUAAUACCCCAUAGUACAACGGAGUGGCAUCACUUUGUUGUUAAAGAUUUAUCACUUGAAGAUGGCUGUGCGGCUGAUUAGGUAGUUGGCGGGGUAACGGCCCACCAAGCCUGCGAUCAGUAACUGGUGUGAGAGCACGACCAGUCACACGGGCACUGAGACACGGGCCCGACUCCUACGGGAGGCAGCAGUAAGGAAUAUUGGUCAAUGGACGAAAGUCUGAACCAGCCAUGCCGCGUGGAGGAUGAAGGUCCUCUGGAUUGUAAACUUCUUUUAUAUGGGACGAAAAAAGGGUUUUCUAACUCGUCUGACGGUACCAUAUGAAUAAGCACCGACUAACUCCGUGCCAGCCGCCGCAGUAAAAC
rnacentral:rRNA from 1 species